UACGAGGGGGGCAAGCGUUGUUCGGAAUUAUUGGGCGUAAAGGGCGCGUAGGCGGCGCGGUAUGUCUCUUGUGAAAUCUCCAGGCUCAACUUGGAGUCUGCAAGGGAAACUGCCGUGCUUGAGUACUGGAGAGGUGAGUGGAAUUCCCGGUGUAGCGGUGAAAUGCGUAGAUAUCGGGGAGGAACACCUGUGGCGAAAGCGGCAUCCUGGACCAAUACUGACACUGAGGAGCGAAAGCCAGGGGAGCAAACGGG
rnacentral:rRNA from 1 species